rnacentral:rRNA from 1 species
UACAGGGGGGGCAAGCGUUGUUCGGAAUUACUGGGCGUAAAGGGUUCGUAGGUGGCCACUUAAGUCAGACGUGAAAUCCCUCAGCUUAACUGGGGAACUGCGUCUGAUACUGAGUGGCUUGAGUGCAGGAGAGGGAUGCGGAAUUCCAGGUGUAGCGGUGAAAUGCGUAGAUAUCUGGAGGAACACCGGUGGCGAAGGCGGCAUCCUGGACUGUAACUGACACUGAGGAACGAAAGCCAGGGGAGCAAACGGGG